GCAUAUCAAUAAGCGGAGGAAAAGAAACUAACAAGGAUUCCCCUAGUAGCGGCGAGCGAAGCGGGAAGAGCUCAAAUUUAUAAUCUGGCACCUUCGGUGUCCGAGUUGUAAUCUCUAGAAAUGUUUUCCGCGUUGGACCGCACACAAGUCUGUUGGAAUACAGCGGCAUAGUGGUGAGACCCCCGUAUAUGGUGCGGACGCCCAGCGCUUUGUGAUACAUUUUCGAAGAGUCGAGUUGUUUGGGAAUGCAGCUCAAAUUGGGUGGUAAAUUCCAUCUAAAGCUAAAUAUUGGCGAGAGACCGAUAGCGAACAAGUACCGUGAGGGAAAGAUGAAAAGCACUUUGGAAAGAGAGUUAACAGUACGUGAAAUUGUUGGAAGGGAAACGCUUGAAGUCAGACUUGCUUGCCGAGCAAUCGGUUUGCAGGCCAGCAUCAGUUUUCCGGGAUGGAUAAUGGUAGAGAGAAGGUAGCAGUUUCGGCUGUGUUAUAGCUCUCUGCUGGAUACAUCUUGGGGGACUGAGGAACGCAGUGUGCCUUUGGCGGGGGUUUCGACCUCUUCACACUUAGGAUGCUGGUGGAAUGGCUUUAAACGACCCGUCUUGAAACACGGACCAAGGAGUCUAACAUGCUUGCGAGUAUUUGGGUGUCAAACCCGGAUGCGUAAUGAAAGUGAAUGGAGGUGGGAACCGCAAGGUGCACCAUCGACCGAUCUGGAUUUUUAAUGAUGGAUUUGAGUAAGAGCACGUAUGUUGGGACCCGAAAGAUGGUGAACUAUGCCUGAAUAGGGCGAAGCCAGAGGAAACUCUGGUGGAGGCUCGUAGCGGUUCUGACGUGCAAAUCGAUCGUCAAAUUUGGGUAUAGGGGCGAAAGACUAAUCGAACCAUCUAGUAGCUGGUUCCUGCCGAGU
rnacentral:rRNA from 1 species